CCGGUCUCGUUUCGACCCCGGAAGUUAAGCCCGCCAGCGAUCCCGGUUGUACUGCCCUCCGGGAGGGGGCGGGAAGCCGGGGACGCCGCCGGCC
rnacentral:rRNA from 1 species